GCUGUAGUGUAGAGGUAGCGCAUCUGCUUUGGAUGCACAAGGUCCCAGGUUCCAUCCCUGGCAUCUCCA